GUAGGGAAUCUUCCACAAUGGACGAAAGUCUGAUGGUGCAACGCCGCGUGGAGGAUGAAGGUCUUCGGAUUGUAAACUCCUGUCAUCUGGGAGUAAGACCUGACGGUGAAUAGCCGGCAGGGUUGAUAGUACCAGAAGAGGAAGGGACGGCUAACUUCGUGCCAGCAGCCGCGGUAAUACGAAGGUCCCAAGCGUUGUUCGGAAUCACUGGGCGUAAAGGGAGCGUAGGCGGCGUGGUAAGUCAGAUGUGAAAUCCCGGGGCUCAACCCCGGAACUGCAUCCGAUACUGCCAUGCUUGAGGGUUGGAGAGGUAGCUGGAAUUCUCGGUGUAGCAGUGAAAUGCGUGGAUAUCGAGAGGAACACUCGUGGCGAAGGCGAGCUACUGGACAACAUCUGACGCUGAGGCUCGAAGGCCAGGGGAGCAAAAGGGAUUAGAUACCCGUGUAGUCC
rnacentral:rRNA from 1 species